GAAAUGCGAUAAGUAAUGUGAAUUGCAGAAUUCAGUGAAUCAUCGAAUCUUUGAACGCACCUUGCACUCCUUGGUAUUCCGAGGAGUAUGCCUGUUUGAGUGUCAUUAAAUUCUCAAACCUCUUUGACUUUAUUGACAAAGAGGCUUUGGAUGUGGGAGUUGCUGGCUUUUACGAGUCAGCUCUCCUUAAAUGCAUUAGUGGUUACUGUUCUCCACUUCCUGGUGUGAUAAUAUCUACGCCUAGUGGAGAUGUUAAGUGUAGCUGCUUUCUAACCGUCCAUGCAAUGUGGACAACUUGAACCAUUUGACCUCAAAUCAGGUAGGACUACCCGCUGAACUUAA
rnacentral:misc_RNA from 1 species